ensembl:lncRNA
GUGGCGAUGGAGCGGACGGAGUGGCUUCCGAAGAGCUCGGCGAUCGCUGCGGCCGCAGCUCGGAACGGGAAAGCUGGAGGCGAGCCACACGGUGGCAAUGUGCACAAGGAAAUGAACCGCUGCCCGAAAGCCGCAGCGCUCGGGAUCGCGUCGUUCCGCCUCCGGAUCGACCCGCGGUGCUGUGCUGCGGGAGCUGGGCCGGCAUCUCGAGCACCUUCUCGGUUUUAGAGAGGCCGUAACGAGAAAUGCCCUCAAACCAUUCAUUCGGUUGCGAGCAGUUUUUCUUCUCCGGAGACGUUGGUGGUAGAUUUUGUUUCAACUGAGCAAAAGGAGAGGACUUUUAAAAGCAGAGAGGACGGGCGGAAGACAAUGUCCCCUUGACGUCUGCAUGAAUGAGCUCAUUUAUCCCCCCCAGCGUCCGGAAACCGUUCCUCCUGCCCCGACAGCUGCAGGCUCUGUUUGCUCAGGGCCAUGGCCAGCCCCACUGCUCCCUGCCCCGCAGAGCCCCAUGCGCAGCAUUGCACCGAGCAGCAGCCGCCGGCACGCCAAGGAGCGCUUCGCCCUGUUUGGGUGAAACGCUGUGGACUGCCGGCCAAGGCUUGGAUUCCUUCCCCAGAAUGGCGUUUCCGUCAUUUAUUUCAACUAUUUCAGUUCUUCUCCUAGCGCCAGGACCCGCUGCCAACUGCUGUUCGAUGGCUAUUUAAUUAAUAUGUGUGCUUCUGUAGCUGUUGUCCUUCGUUGUAACGUAUGUAGGUUGCUCCGCAA